CCUACGUGAGGCAGCAGUGGGGAAUAUUGGACAAUGGGCGAAAGCCUGAUCCAGCCAUGCCGCGUGUGUGAAGAAGGCCUUCGGGUUGUAAAGCACUUUCAGUGGGGAAGAAAGCCUUGGGGCUAAUACCCUCGAGGAAGGACAUCACCCACAGAAGAAGCACCGGCUAACUCCGUGCCAGCAGCCGCGGUAAUACGGAGGGUGCGAGCGUUAAUCGGAAUUACUGGGAGUAAAGCGCGCGUAGGCGGUCUGAUAAGCCGGUUGUGAAAGCCCCGGGCUCAACCUGGGAACGGCAUCCGGAACUGUCAGGCUAGAGUGCAGGAGAGGAAGGUAGAAUUCCCGGUGUAGCGGUGAAAUGCGUAGAGAUCGGGAGGAAUACCAGUGGCGAAGGCGGCCUUCUGGACUGACACUGACGCUGAGGUGCGAAAGCGUGGGUAGCAAACAGGAUUAGAUACCCGAGUAGUC
rnacentral:rRNA from 1 species